rnacentral:rRNA from 1 species
CAAUAGCGUAUAUUAAAGUUGUUGACGGUUAAAAAGCUCGUAGUUGGAUUUCUGCCGAGGACGACCGGUCCGCCCUCUGGGUGAGUAUCUGGCUCGACCUGGGCAUCCUUCCAGAGAAUGUGUCUGCUCUUGACUGAGUGGUGCAGUAUCUGGAACUUUACUUUGAGGAAAUUAGAGUGUUUCAAGCAGGCAUUACGCCUUGAAUACAUUAGCAUGGAAUAAUAAGAUAGGACCUCGGUUUCUAUUUUUGUUGGUUUCUAGAGCUGAGGUAAUGAUUGAUAGGGGAUAGUUGGGGGUGCUAGUAUUGGCCGGCCAGAGGUGAAAUUCUUGGAUUCGGUCAAGACUAAACUUAUGCGAAAGCAUUCUACCAAGGAUGUCUUCUUUAAAUCAAGAACGAAAGUUGGGGGAUCGAAGACGAUCAGAUACCGU